AUUGAACGCUGGCGGCAUGCCUUACACAUGCAAGUCGAACGGUAACGGGCCUUCGGGUGCCGACGAGUGGCGCACGGGUGAGUAUACAUCGGAACGUGCCCGAUCGUGGGGGAUAACGAGGCGAAAGCUUUGCUAAUACCGCAUACGAUCUACGGAUGAAAGCAGGGGACCGCAAGGCCUUGCGCGGACGGAGCGGCCGAUGGCAGAUUAGGUAGUUGGUGGGAUAAAAGCUUACCAAGCCGACGAUCUGUAGCUGGUCUGAGAGGAUGAUCAGCCACACUGGGACUGAGACACGGCCCAGACUCCUACGGGAGGCAGCAGUGGGGAAUUUUGGACAAUGGGCGCAAGCCUGAUCCAGCCAUGCCGCGUGCAGGAUGAAGGCCUUCGGGUUGUAAACUGCUUUUGUACGGAACGAAAAGCCUUCUUUUAAUACAGGAGGGUCAUGACGGUACCGUAAGAAUAAGCACCGGCUAACUACGUG
rnacentral:rRNA from 1 species